rnacentral:sRNA from 1 species
GUUUCGCCGUCGCUUGCGGUGCUCGACCAGCCCGUUGCGGUCGAGCACCGCGUGCACGGU